UACGUAGGGUGCAAGCGUUAAUCGGAAUUACUGGGCGUAAAGCGUGCGCAGGCGGUUUUGUAAGUCAGAUGUGAAAUCCCCGGGCUUAACCUGGGAACUGCGUUUGAAACUACAAGGCUAGAGUGUGGCAGAGGGGGGUGGAAUUCCACGUGUAGCAGUGAAAUGCGUAGAGAUGUGGAGGAACACCGAUGGCGAAGGCAGCCCCCGGGGUUAACACUGACGCUCAGGCACGAAAGCGUGGGGAGCAAACAGG
rnacentral:rRNA from 1 species